GAGCCUGGGGCCGCUCCUCCUUCUCUCCGCCCCGCCGGCCGCAGGCGCGGGGACGUCAGCGCUGCCAGCGUGGAAACGGCGGCGGGGCACGGGAGGCGGAAGUGGCGCCUGGGACUGUGUGCCUCCCUCGGGCUCCGCCGGCCGCCUCGACCAUGGACGUGUCCCUGGACAAGCUGCUGUAGAUUUGUUAUUCUGCCUCUGGACAGAUGAAGGAAGUAUUGUUGUACAAGUUCAGCCUGAUGUCUUCCAUGUGCCCACAGGGGUAUACCCCACACCUAGGCUGCGUCUCAUACAUUUUGGAGUAUGCAAUCAAGAAAAUAAAAAGACUGGUUAAAUGAUGGUACAUCCAUAGAACGGAAUAAGGUGUCAGCACUAAGAAAAAUGAAAUAGACAUACUGAUGUGGAACCAUAUUCACUAUAAAGUUUUUUAAGAAAGCAAGUUGCAGAGGUGCAUAUAAGUAAGGUAAAAAUUUGGAAAGAUAAAUAUCAAACUUAAAGUGGCUUUCCCUGGGGAGAGGAAC